UUUCCGUAGGUGAACCUGCGGAAGGAUCAUUAUUGUAUAACCGAGGUGCGAGGGCUGUCGCUGACCCGAAAGGUCGUGCACGCCCGAGUGCCCUCACACACAUCCAUCUCACCCCUAUGUGCACCACCGCGUGAGUCCCCCUUUGGCUUGUUCGGAGGGGGGCUUACGUUUUCACACAAACUUUGUAUGCAGUGUAGAAUGUAUUUUUUGUGUUUGCGAUCACGCAAUCAAUACAACUUUCAACAACGGAUCUCUUGGCUCUC
rnacentral:misc_RNA from 1 species